UACGGGGGGAGCAAGCGUUGUUCGGAUUUACUGGGCGUAAAGGGCGCGUAGGCGGCCACCGCAAGUCGGUUGUGAAAUCUCCGGGCUUAACCCGGAAAGGUCAACUGAUACUGUGCGACUAGAGUGCAGAAGGGGCAACUGGAAUUCUCGGUGUAGCGGUGAAAUGCGUAGAUAUCGAGAGGAACACCUGCGGCGAAGGCGGGUUGCUGGGCUGACACUGACGCUGAGGCGCGAAAGCUAGGGGAGCGAACGGG
rnacentral:rRNA from 1 species